UGAUCAUCAAGUUGGUCGUGCCUUCGGUAUGUACUUGCUUCGGUGGACCCUCCUUCUUGAAGAGCCGUAAUGCCAUUAAUUUGGUGCUGCGGGGAAACAGGACUGUUACUUUGAAAAAUUAGAGUGUUUAAAGCAGGCAAUCGCUUGAAUACAUUAGCAUGGAAUAAUGAAAUAGGACGUUCGAUCUUAUUUUGCUGGUUUCUAGGAUUGACGUAAUGAU
rnacentral:rRNA from 1 species